CUUGCCACAGUUUAUUUACACAUACUGCCCACACUGUUGUGAGACAAAGCUGGUGAAUGACGGCAGAGUAUCCCGGGAUAAGUGAAAGGUGUUGACUGAGAGGACUAUACAAGAUGGCGGAUGAUGGACAGGAUCAUGGCAUGAUGCUCAAUGUAUUGUUCACGUCCCACCUUCAUAUUACCACUGACAGCCCAGGGGUCAUGUGAGGAUCUGUGGACAGGAGUGAAAGAGAUCACACUGGAACAAAGAUCAUUCUGACAACCCUUGAAUGCAGCACAAGGCUGGUGACUGGGACGUCUGCUACCAAGGAACAACAGAUCUUUGACAUGAAAAGAAAAAAAUGACGCAGCAACAUGAUACUGUAUGUCACACGCAGUCCUCCACCUAUCAGGACCAGUCUCUCCUGGACAUCUGGAC